GGCAGGAGUCGGGCAACUAUAGGCCAGUAAGCCUUACUUCAGUAGUGGGGAAAGUGAUGGAAACCAUGUUAAAGGAUAGGAUUGGUGAACAUCUAAAAACACAUGGAUUUCAAGAUCAGAGACAACAUGGGUUUACUUCAGGGAGAUCAUGCCAAACUAAUCUUAUUGAUUUUUUUGAUUGGGUAACUAAAAUUAUAGAUCAGGGUGGUGCAGUAGACAUUGCUUACCUAGAUUUCAGUAAGGCUUUUGACACUGUUGCACAUAGAAG
rnacentral:lncRNA from 1 species